AAAAGUCUUUUGUUAUUACAUAAAGGCAAAUUUUCUACUGAAUAUUAUGAUAAUUAGGAGAUUUGCUGGUUGAUAAUUGAUAUACGGAUAUGUGUUUAUGAUAAUUUGUAGUUAUUUUUAUAAUCUACGCAUAUUCAGACGGCAUCUGGAUUAACCAACACCUAGAGACAUUAAAGCGGAAAUAUACUUUGAUCGACAAAAUGAAGUCUUCAAGGACACAUUUCGUUAUUUUCUUGUUAAUAACAAUUGCAAUGAUGGAUGGGAUUCUAUGUCAAAUGUGCAGAUUGUAUGGUAGAUCAUGUAGGGACACUCCGCCGUUUAGAAACGGAAAAGGACGCUGUGCUCGUAGUGGAAUUAGUAAAAAUUGUGCUAGAAUUGGUCGAGCCUGUCGCUGCAAGUCGACAAUCAUUUUGAAUUUUGCACCAAAGUAUCCGGGACUUGAAGCGGAAUUGAAUAUUGAUUUGAAAAUAAACAAUCAUGUCGAAGAUGAAGACAAUUAUACAGAUUAUUAAAAAGAAAAACUUUCAGAAACACGUUAUAUGACAUUUUUGCUGCCUUUAGAAGUUAAUGGAUGUCUUGAUAAAAGAGUUAUAAUUUG